rnacentral:rRNA from 1 species
UACGGAAGGCAGCAGUGGGGAAUAUUGCACAAUGGGCGAAAGCCUGAUGCAGCUAUGCCGCGUGUAUGAAGAAGGCCUUAGGGUUGUAAAGUACUUUCAUCGGGGAGGAAAAAACAAAACUAAUAAUUUUAUUUCUUGACGUUACCCGAAAAAGAAGCACCGGCUAACUCCGUGCCAGCAGCCGCGAUAAUACGGAGGGUGCUAGCGUUAAUCAGAAUUACUGGGCGUAAAGAGCACGUAGGUGGUUUUUUUAAGUCAGAUGUGAAAUCCCUGGGCUUAACCUAGGAACUGCAUUUUGAAACUGAAAUACUAGAGUAUCGUAGAGGGAGGUAGAAUUCUAGGUGUAGCGGUGAAAUGCGUAGAUAUCUGGAGGAAUACCUGUGGCGAAAGCGGCCUCCUAAACGAAUACUGACACUGAGGUGCGAAAGCGUGGGGAGCAAACGAGGAUUAGAUACC